ACGCUAAAGCUCGAAGGUGCGGGUAUCGAACAGGAUUAGAUACCCUGGUAGUCCGCACGGUAAACGAUGGAUGCCCGCUGUUGGCGACACACUGUCAGCGGCCAAGCGAAAGCGUUAAGCAUCCCACCUGGGGAGUACGCCGGCAACGGUGAAACUCAAAGGAAUUGACGGGGGCCCGCACAAGCGGAGGAACAUGUGGUUUAAUUCGAUGAUACGCGAGGAACCUUACCUGGACUCAAAUGUUGGAUGACCGUUCCAGAAAUGGGACUUCCCUUCGGGGCAUCCAGCAAGGUGCUGCAUGGUUGUCGUCAGCUCGUGCCGUGAGGUGUCAGGUUAAGUCCUAUAACGAGCGCAACCCCUACGUCCAGUUGCCAGCGGGUAAAGCCGGGGACUCUGGAGGGACUGCCGGCGCAAGCCGAGAGGAAGGUGGGGAUGACGUCAAAUCAGCACGGCCCUUACGUCCAGGGCGACACACGUGCUACAAUGGCCGGUACAGAGGGCAGCCACCCCGCGAGGGGGAGCGAAUCUCGAAAGCCGGUCUCAGUUCGGAUCGGAGUCUGCAACUCGACUCCGUGAAGUUGGAUUCGCUAGUAAUCGCGCA
rnacentral:rRNA from 1 species